AUGGGAUAUGGAUAUAAGUGUCCUUCGGAUCUGAGGCUGCCUCGGUGAUUUGCAAGCAACUCACUAUGUUUUGGUGUUGGACUAUCUGAAUUUCUAAUUCAGUGAUGGAAGAUUUUUAGGUACAGUCAAAUACUUGUAAAAUCUGAGUGUGAGUUAAGAUGGGAUUGAUCACUCCAAAUAAAAUUGAAGAUGAUGCAUCAUUGUGUUUCAAUUCAGUAAAACUUUGCCUAAAAUAGUCCUAGUG
rnacentral:lncRNA from 1 species